UCUUGCUGUAUUUGAAGCAUCUGGAACAGUGUCUCGCACAUAGUUGUUCAGUAUUUGUUCAGUGGAUAAAUGAAAGGUCCAGGGACUCCUUAAGAAAAUAAAACUAAACCUUCCUCCUUCCCCACCCAAUCCCAGUGUCUCUGGGAAGAAUGGGAAUUUUGAUGUAGAAUCUUUAUCUCCUGGAGAGAUUUUGGUUUAUUUGCUUAAAGUUUGAACCUUACCCUCCCUUUCAUCAUUUUUUCCUAAAAGCACCCCAAACCCCAACAGAAAGAGAGAAAGAGAGAGAAAAUUCAUGGAUGCGCACACACCAUUAAAGGAAUCCUUUCUUUCAUGGCCAUUCUUUGGGACCAACCUCAUGCCUGCAAGGCGAGGACCAUGAUGAUCCCUUACCACCUCCCGGAAGAGGACAGGGAGAAGCCGGUGACGAAGGGAACAGCGUGACGAGAGACUGGGCUCACAUCACAGAGAUCCUAGGGGAUGUUAUUUUUUUUCUUCUUUCUAAGUCUCUGUAAAAAGCUCCAUAUUUUUGUUUCUUCGUUGUGACCACUUGGAAGACUGCAGAACGCGAGCGAGGUGACUGCCAUGUGAUGUCACCUCUGACUGCCGGUGUGAGACAUAGCCCUGGGCUCUGGUGGGGCGGGUUUGGGGGGUGACAUCUGCUUGCGGCCUUGGGGAGGAGUGCAGAUGGAAACAGAUGGAAAGGAUGGCUCUGUGGGAUGCUGCUGUCAGUGGAGUCUGGGGCUCUGGGCCAGAACUUUCAGGCAGGAAAGUUGGAAGGAACUGAUGAAAAGGCACGGCAGGCAGAAGUGGAGGGAGAUACAAGGCUGAGGACAAGGGAGAAGCUAAACAGAGGUGACUUGUGCGGUCUUUAAUCCGGGCUAAGCUCCCCUGCUGCCCUGUGGACAGGGACCAAGGGAAAUCUUCAACUCCGUUUUUGGUCAGUGUAGGCCAAAAAUCUACACUUGCAGCAACUCUUAAUCAUUCGGUAAAGUUUUCUACCCAGUGUAUCUUAGUUGGUAUAACAAAUUUGUUAUGUUGUAAAGAGUCUGUGGGAUUUUUUUCCCCACCAGGUUCCUAGCAUGGAUCUUCUCACAUCCUUGGGAUUUCCUGAGUGAUCGAAGUACCUUUGUUAUUCCUGAGUCCCAUGGGUCACCAUGCUAUCAUUGCGUUAGCAAGGUGACUCAUUGUGGGCCCCUAGAUGGCUUCAGAAUGGGAGCGGGUCACCAGGAAGACGGACCAUUGGAUUAGAGGGUCUUUAGCGGGGUCAUUGGUGCUCUGGCUCCAGGGAGGGAAGAAAGACUGGUAACGGGGUUUAAUCAUGGGGCCAAUGGUUUAAUCAGUCGUGCCGAGGUAAUAAAACUCUGGCCGCCAGAGCUCCGCAGAGCUUCCCGGCUGGUGAGCCCUUUGAUGUUCUGGGAGCAUGACGCACCCUCCUUCCUCGAGCAGAGGGCCCAGACACCCCCAGACCUCACCGUAUGUGUCUCUUCAUUGGGCUGUUCCUGAUCUGUAUGUGUUUUUUAUAACAAAUCUACUCGUAAUAUAGCUCUUUGCUGAGUUCUCAGUUGUCCUAGCAAAUUGUCAAAACUCCAGUGGUCAUGAGAGCCCCUAAAUUUAUAGACAGUUAUCCAGAAGAAGGGCAGGUGGCGUGGGAACCCCCGAACUUGUGGCUGGUAUAUGAAGUGAGGGCGGCCUUGUGGAGACUGUGCAAGCUCUGGGAACUUAGCACAGGAACUGAACAGCAAUAAGCCACUGGGUGUCAGACUAGCCUACUUACUCAACUCAGCAUAAAUGUCCACUCCGUGGUGAAACCUUCCUUGACUACCCCACCAUUCGGGGCUCUGUCUCUUGUCUUUUCAUAACAAUCUAUUGAGGUCUCUAUUACAGCACCUGCCUUCUUUUGGCACAAACACAACUCUUCUGUUAAGAAGUCGGCUUCCCCUCCCGUCUAGGCUCCUGGAGGACAGGGCUGUGUCCUGCUCCCGUCUGUCCCCGCACCUGGAAUCAUCCCUGGCCUGCAGCAGGUACACAGCAAACGUUAGAAGAGCAAUGGGUUGUUCUAUAUACAAAAAAUACAUUUUUUGGUGCUGGACAUAGGUAAGGAGGUGCCGCGAACAGUCCCAGGAAAGUCACCCGCGCCCUGUCCACAGGACAGACAACCGUACCUGCCCUGAAGAAAGUGCCAAAUUCGUAAGGAAAACUGACGAGCCUCUCGAGAGAGAGAGACAGUGAGAGAGAAA